rnacentral:rRNA from 1 species
AUGUUACUGGAUCAACCGGGACUGAGAAACUUUGAACAACAUGUGAGACAAAGAUGGAGUUUUCCUCCCAAGAAGUUAUCUCAGAGACAAAUCUGCGUGCCCAUCAGGAAAUUUCCAUACUGCUCCAAAAUUGCUGCAGAAAAACAAAGGGAGAAGAAGAAAUCAGAAGGUUUUCAGAUCCAAAAAGAAGAAGGGAACAAGAUCAGGAGAAUUGAAAAAGAAAGGAGCUACAGAUGGAUCCAUGGACGCACAAACUCACCCUGUGACAGAGGUGAUGUGGCAUCAUUAACGAGGGAUUACUGUAGCCUAAUUAUCCGGGCGUCACAGCGACGAGCGCACCUCCUCCUUAGCUCCUCCCCGCUACGUCAAGCCAAAGACGGAGCCGGGGCUCGCCGCCGUGAAGACGGAGCCUGGGCUCGCCGGCGGCGUGAAGGAGGAGCUCGAUGA